CAGUUGUACGCGAAAGGGGGGGCAACCCCCCGAGUAGAGUGGCGAACGGGUGAGUAAUACAUCGGAACGUGCCCAGUAGCGGGGGAUAACCUCUCGAAAGAGAGGCUAAUACCGCAUACGUCCUACGGGAGAAAGAGGGGAAUCGCAAGACCUCUCACUAUUGGAGCGGCCGAUGUCGGAUUAGCUAGUUGGCGGGGUAAAAGCCCACCAAGGCUACGAUCCGUAGCUGGUCUGAGAGGACGACCAGCCACACUGGAACUGAGACACGGUCCAGACUCCUACGGGAGGCAGCAGUGGGGAAUUUUGGACAAUGGGCGCAAGCCUGAUCCAGCCAUGCCGCGUGGGUGAAGAAGGCCUUCGGGUUGUAAAGCCCUUUCGGCUGGGACGAAAAGGUCCGCGCUAACACCGCGGAUCCAUGACGGUACCAGCAGAAGAAGCACCGGCUAACUACGUGCCAGCAGCCGCGGUAAUACGUAGGGUGCAGGCGUUAAUCGGAAUUACUGGGCGUAAAGCGUGCGCAGGCGGUCUCUUAAGACAGGUGUGAAAUCCCCGGGCUUAACCUGGGAACUGCGCUUGUAACUGAGAGGCUAGAGUGUGGCAGAGGGGGGUGGAAUUCCACGUGUAGCAGUGAAAUGCGUAGAGAUGUGGAGGAACACCGAUGGCGAAGGCAGCCCCCUGGGCUAACACUGACGCUCAUGCACGAAAGCGUGGGGAGCAAACAGGAUUAGAUACCCUGGUAGUCCACGCCCUAAACUAUGUCAACUGGUUGUCGGGGAAGCAAUUCCUUGGUAACGAAGCUAACGCGUGAAGUUGACCGCCUGGGGAGUACGGCCGCAAGGUUAAAACUCAAAGGAAUUGACGGGGACCCGCACAAGCGGUGGAUUAUGUGGAUUAUUCGAUGCAAC
rnacentral:rRNA from 1 species